ACAAGACUGGCACGUGAUUGCCACGCACACAGCCACCCUCCCCCACCUGCACGCGCACGCACACAUCUUCAUCGGAGACACAAUCUUAGCGUUUCCCUUCGUUGGUUCUCUCCCUCCUCAUUGCUGUUUCUUUCCCUCCCGACCUCUUCCGUUGUUACCGAGAGCUUUUCCUCUACAUCGCCUUUCCUUUUAUGCAUGCGGUGUUGAGUUCCGUCGAUGUGCGCCAUCGCCUCCAUCCGUAUUUUUUUUCAUUCCUGGAUGUGCAUUGAGACGUAGGAGCUGCGCACCUUUCACAUCCCUCCUCUUCCAACUCCCCCCCCCACGCACACACACGCACAGGCACGUUUUCUUUUUGGAAGAGGGGAGGAGGCCCUCUAUGUAGUGCUCAUCCAUCGUGCUUCGAUGUAGGUUUGACUCUUCCGCCCGCCCGCCCGCCUCCCCCCCUCUUACUCGCCACCUUCCCCAUCGCCUCUCAACUCCCAUGGCCUUCUCCCACCGGCAAAGUAUCUCGCCUCCCGGACCUCCCUCCUCUCUCGCUCCCGUCGUGCCUCUCUCCGUGCCUUCAGCUCAUCAUCUUGCUUCUGUUAUACGGGGAAAAAAAGAAGAGCGAGGGUAGCACCCCCACUCCCCUUCCAGAGCACCAUCAGCACAAGUGGCACAGAAACUGGCGGGGCAAUCCCUGUCCCUGAGCGCAUUCCGCCGCACAGGUGCGUCAGGCAGCUCACCCACCAGUCGCCAAGCCGUUCCUCGCCCUCUCUCCUUUGCUUGUAUGGCGGUGGAAGGGGAUGGGCGCGCGAAGGACAAGCGAAAUGCUUGGAACAGAAAACGCACGCCUGCGCGCAUGUAGUGAGAAAAAGGAGCAUCUUCCUUUGCUUCUCUUGGGGCUGGAGGAGGAAAGAGAGCGGAAAUGGCGAUCCGAAGGUACUCUUAUUACUGUGAUUGCCCACUCCUACGGUGAACUGUCCUCGAUGGGUCUGAUCAUGGAUGUGUGGAGGAGACACGCGCUCAGUCGCUGCCGAUGGAGCACAUGCUUGCUGGAGGGAUGGCGCGCAUUCAUCUUUUUUUGUUGUUAUUUUGCUUAGCUCGCCUUGAGCCACUGCUCCUAUUGUUUCCUUGUGUUGGGCUGCGUCUGUGUCUGCGUGUAUGUGCCCCUUUACGUUACUUUCCGUCAGUGGCGAGCAACCAAGAUACAAGAGGUACAUACACGCACAUACAUCCGGGAGAAUCGAAGCGAAGGAGAACGCACGACGAAGGCAGAUAACGAAGAAAAAGGCGGAUGCAUUUUUAUAUAUAUAAGUGUGUAUGCAUAUAGCUGCAACCAACGAAGGCACGCACAGAAUCUGAGCUGGGAGACGUUUUUGUCUGUUUCUAUCUUGUUCCAUAUUUUUUUUCUUCGGUUGCCGUUCUCUCUUCUAUCCCCCUCUGUCUUUCUUUCGCUCAUUCAUCUGUUUCUUUUUUUUUGUAGCGGACGCGUCCCCCGAUACCACCACCACCGCCAUCACCGCUCUUCCCAUCUCGCUCUCGCUCUCCACUCCGUCUUUUCCUUCCUCCUCUCUCCCUUUUCCAAUCCUUCUCUCCGUUUCCCCCGGGCGCCGUCUCACUCUCUCUCGCUCUUGUUAGCUCUUUUUUUGUUUUUCGUCCCCUUUUCGUUAGCAUUCUUCUUGUCUUCGCCAGCCCUCCACUGCAAAGACCGGCCCUGACAUCUCCCCCGUUCACCUCGCUACACGCAUGCCCUCUCUCUCCUGUUUUUGCUUGCUUUGCUGUGUUUCUUUUUGUGUUUUUUUUUUUUCGUGUCUGCUUGUGUGUGCGUCUUACUGUCGAUGGUUCUACUCUUCAUUCCUCGUGAUCUUUUCUGUCUUCGCCUGUACAUCCGGCCCGGUAUGCCUACACCCGCCUCAUACUGUACGCGAUGUCCCCCACGAAUCUUCUCUCCGACUUUAGUGGCUUUACCUUCUUUGUUUUUUUUUUGUUUGCCUCUGCCUCGUUCAGCGGACUCAUGUGAGCUGGAGAACAUAGCCUGCACGCCACUGUGUAUGCGUGUGCGUGAGUGUUUGCUGGUUCUUGCGCUUGCGGACCGUGAAAGGGACGCUGUGAGGGUAAGGAGGAAAUCAUGAGGAAUGGCGUCGAGACGCUCUUGCUCUCACGUGCGCGCGUCCGCCUACACUGAUGUGCUUCCCCUGAAUCCACGGGUGCCCAACAGCUUCACGUCCAAAACUAGCACGCACACGCAUAAACCACAGACGCGCGUGUCCCGCCCUUCUCCUACCUCUUUGCUUUUUUUAUCUUUCCCAUCCCAUCGCGGCACACUCAGCUCGCCCCGCUGAUGGAUUCUUUCGCACAUGGGCCACCUUGGCUGUGUCUCCGUCUUCUGUUCGUUCCGUUUCUUUUAUUAUUACGAUUUCGUCCCCCCCCCCUCCGCGCCUCCUUUCCCCUUCUUUUUCGCUGCCGUGUCGCUGUUUUGUUUUGCGUGUGUGUUCACCCGUUUUCUUUUUUUGCCCCCGCAAUCCUCGCCUCGGCAAUCGCAUCGAUGAGAGCCGCCGCUUGGGGAGGUGGAGAAAUAAAGUGACGGGAAGAGGGGUUUGGGUGUGCGAAGAAGGCCAUUGGCUCCACCCACUGCGUCAUACUUGCCUUGUCCCUCCCUCCUGACCUUUUCUCUUUGUUCUUUCCGGUUAUUCGGGACGCAUGGUCUCUCUCUCUCUUGUCUUGACUUCGUUGCUUGCGAACCACCUGCUCUGGGCAUCUCCGCCCCCUUCGAUGCUGUUUUUCACGGCUGCAGGACUGCCCCCUCCCCUCCCCCCGCUCCCGUCUUUCGUGUCGCCUCUCUGGUUUCUUUGUAUUUCUUUUCCUUCUCAGCGUUUCUUCUGUUGUCGGCCUCUUGUGAAGGAUGUCCUUUUUUUUUCUUUGGCAGGGUGGAGGUCUCCUCCCCUUCUGUCUCCCCUCACGUGCGCCUAUUCCCAUCGUCUGCGCGCCCCCUCCCCCGUUUCUUUCCGUCGUCACGUGGUCGAUGUCGGAUCCCCUUCCAGCUGCCGAGUUGCUGAUGCAGUGCGUGUGUGUGCGUGUGUUUUCGGUGCUGCUUUGCCUGUAUGUGAGUUUGUGGCAGACGACCCAACGAAGGAAGCAGAGGAAAGGACGAGACGUGACGUGUGAUGGCAGUGAUAAGAGAAGCCUGAAAAUAGGGUAUGGCGUGUGCCCCGUGCAGCUUGCACUCGCUGGUGACGCAGAGAAGACGCCUUCGGCUCCCCUCCCCCUUGUAAGUUCUCUGAGUUGUUGAACCUUGGACAGACGCGCAACAAAGGAAAAGGAAGACGAGGGGUUCUGCAGAGAAUCAUGGCGUUUCCGUGAACACUCAUCUUGCUCUCCUCGUCUCCCUCUCGCUCAGGCAAACCUCUAUGUUUUGUCUUUUCGCACUCGACUGUUUUGUUUUUGUGUCUUUCGUAAUAUUUUCAUUCACUGCCGCCCUUACGGUGUCUCAUCGCUUUCUUUCCCUCUCUCGGUGUGAUGUGAGGCACACGUACGUCACUCAUUGGCCCUCACCCCACCCCACCCGCUGCCAUCCCUGUCCUCUUUCCUUGGUUGAAUUUUGGUCCUUGGCAUGUGCUGUUUUAUUGUUAUUAUUCUUUUCGGCUUUGGAAUUCUUGUAUGCGUCUCCGUGGUUGUGGUGGCGGCUAUUGACGGGUUGAGCCGUGUAGUGCCUCUGUGGUGAUGCUUGAAUUAACAACGAAAAACGUAUUGAAACGGAAAGGCAGAAAAAAAAGGAGCACCAUGCAGCUAUGCCGAUGUGCAUCCACCGUGCUCGCUCACCUCCUCCCCCUCCCUUUUUUAUGAUGUACGGAAGGGUGAGCAGAACUUCACAUGGACGUGAAAACGACGUAGUCGUUUCUCCCGCACGAGACAGAGAGAGGCGGCCGGGAGGCAGAGGAGACAGCCGUGCUCUGUCCCAUUGUCGCCGGCUUUUUGCUCAGCCCUGGGUGUGCUGGGUGUGUACACAUCUUAGAUUCUUUUUUUUUGAUCGCUCUUUCCUUCCCACGUCCUUCACUCGCCCCAUCUGCCCGCCUCUCCCUCUCUCUGUGCGCCGCCGAUGCGUCUUCUGCCCCACCAAAAUCGAACGUUGUGCCUCCCCUCUUCCUUUCGGCACACGCAG
rnacentral:misc_RNA from 1 species